rnacentral:rRNA from 1 species
CCUACGGGAGGCAGCAGUGGGGAAUAUUGGACAAUGGGCGAAAGCCUGAUCCAGCCAUGCCGCGUGUGUGAAGAAGGCCUUCGGGUUGUAAAGCACUUUCAGUGGGGAAGAAAGCCUUGGGGCUAAUACCCUCGAGGAAGGACAUCACCCACAGAAGAAGCACCGGCUAACUCCGUGCCAGCAGCCGCGGUAAUACGGAGGGGUGCGAGCGUUAAUCGGAAUUACUGGGCGUAAAGCGCGCGUAGGCGGUCUGAUAAGCCGGUUGUGAAAGCCCCGGGCUCAACCUGGGAACGGCAUCCGGAACUGUCAGGCUAGAGUGCAGGAGAGGAAGGUAGAAUUCCCGGUGUAGCGGUGAAAUGCGUAGAGAUCGGGAGGAAUACCAGUGGCGAAGGCGGCCUUCUGGACUGACACUGACGCUGAGGUGCGAAAGCGUGGGUAGCAAACAGGAUUAGAUACCCCGGUAGUC